GGGGCUGUCUGGAUUUGACAGCGGGAUGAAAUGGUACGUAAGCACGCGGAGUCUCGUCGGCUGCCUCCUUAAUCAUAGUGGACAAAAAUUUAAUUGGCAACAAUGAGUAUGCUCUCGCUGCCUAAUCGAAGCACAGUAGAUUAUCGGCUUAAUUCCGUCACAAGGUGAUGGAACGAGACAUCGCACAAGGGAUGUUGUUCCGAAUCUUCUUGGUCAUGCGGUGCAGGUAAAUCGGAAAUAGUCUGUGUAGGUCUCGAUGCACGGAUGAAAUUUUAGAGACUAAGGCAGUGGUUGGUGGUCCGGGUCUUGCCCCUGCUCGAAAAUCGAAGGCCGGAAUAAGCGUGUAGAAAGCGUAUGGUUUCCCUGUUUGGACGCGGGUUCGACUCCCGCCAGCUCCACA
rnacentral:tmRNA from 1 species